GACAGAGGUGCCGAGCGUUAGGCGGAAUCACUGGGCUUAAAGCGUGUGUAGGCGGGCGGGCAAGUACCUUGUGAAAUCCCACGGCUCAACCGUGGAACGGCUGGGUAUACUGCCUGUCUUGAGCCAGCUAGGGGCGAGCGGAACAGACGGUGGAGCGGUGAAAUGCGUAGAUAUCGUCUGGAACGCCGAAGGUGAAAACAGCUCGCUGGGGCUGCGCUGACGCUGAGACGCGAAAGCCAGGGGAGCAAACGGG
rnacentral:rRNA from 1 species